rnacentral:rRNA from 1 species
GACGAACGCUGGCGGCGUGCUUAACACAUGCAAGUCGAGCGGAAAGGCCACUUCGGUGGUACUCGAGCGGCGAACGGGUGAGUAACACGUGAGUAAUCUGCCCCUGGCUUUGGGAUAGCCACCGGAAACGGUGAUUAAUACCGGGUACGACCACUUCUCGCAUGGGAUGGUGGUGGAAAGUUUUUUCGGCCAGGGAUGUGCUCGCGGCCUAUCAGCUUGAUGGUGAGGUAAUGGCUCACCAUGGCUUCGACGGGUAGCCGGCCUGAGAGGGUGACCGGUCACACUGGGACUGAGACACGGCCCAGACUCCUACGGGAGGCAGCAGUGGGGAAUAUUGGACAAUGGGCGGAAGCCUGAUCCAGCAACGCCGCGUGAGGGAUGACGGCCUUCGGGUUGUAAACCUCUUUCAGCAGGGGCGAAGCGCAAGUGACGGUACCUGCAGAAGAAGCACCGGCCAACUACGUGCCAGCCGCCGCAGUAA